rnacentral:rRNA from 1 species
CAGGCGCGAAAACUUUACAAUGCGAGAAAUCGUGACAAGGGAACUCCGAGUGCCUGUAAAAUCAGGCUGUCCGCCAGUGUAAAUAACUGGCGAAGAAAGGGCCGGGCAAGACCGGUGCCAGCCGCCGCGGUAAUACCGGCGGCUCGAGUGGUGGCCACUAUUACUGGGCUUAAAGCGUUCGUAGCUGGCUUGUUAAGCCUCUGGGGAAAUCUUCCGGCUUAACCGGAAGGCGUCUCAGGGAUACUGGCAGGCUAGGGACCGGAAGAGGUGAGAGGUACUCCAGGGGUAGGAGUGAAAUCCUGUAAUCCUUGGGGGACCACCUGUGGCGAAGGCGUCUCACCAGGACGGCUCCGACAGUGAGGAACGAAAGCUGGGGGAGCAAACCGGAUUAGAUACCCGGGUAGUCCCAGCUGUAAACGAUGCGCGUUAGGUGUAUCGGUGACCACCGAGUCACCGAGGUGCCGAAGAGAAAUCGUGAAACGCGCCGCCUGGGAAGUACGGUCGCAAGGCUGAAACUUAAAGGAAGUGGUGGGGGGGCACCCCCCCGGG